GACGAACGCUGGCGGCGUGCUUAACACAUGCAAGUCGAGCGAGAAAGCUCCUUCGGGAGUGAGUACAGCGGCGAACGGGUGAGUAACACGUGGGCAACCUGCCCUAGGGAGCGGGACAACCCGAGGAAACUCGGGCUAAUACCGCAUGAUUCGUCAUGUCUCAAGGCAUGACGGGAAAUGGUAGCUUCGGCCUCCGCCCUAGGAUGGGCCCGCGGCGCAUUAGCUUGNGGUGUGGGUAACGGCUCACCAAGGCGACGAUGCGUAGCUGGUCUGAGAGGACGAUCAGCCACACUGGGACUGAGACACGGCCCAGACUCCUACGGGAGGCAGCAGUGGGGAAUCUUGCGCAAUGGGCGGAAGCCUGACGCAGCAACGCCGCGUGAGGGAAGACGGCCUC
rnacentral:rRNA from 1 species